AGCUCAGACGGUAAAGCGUCUGCUUACGAUGCAGGAGACCCGGGUUCGAUCCCUGG
rnacentral:tRNA from 1 species